rnacentral:tRNA from 2 species
GGCUCGUUGGUCUAGGGGUAUGAUUCUUGCUUAGGGUGCGAGAGCUCCCGGGUUCAAAUCCCGGACGAGCCC